UAGGGAAUCUUCCACAAUGGGCGGCAAGCCUGAUGGAGCAACACCGCGUGAGUGAAGAAGGGUUUCGGCUCGUAAAGCUCUGUUGUUAAAGAAGAACACGUAUGAGAGUAACUGUUCAUACGUUGACGGUAUUUAACCAGAAAGUCAUGGCUAACUACGCGCCAG
rnacentral:rRNA from 1 species